CAGCUCUCCGAGUGGUAGGGAUGUUUAUUGGGCUUGAAGCGUCCGUAGCUGGCCUGACAAGUCUUCCGUUAAAUCCAACGAUUCAAUCGUUGGACUGCGGGAGAUACUGUUGGGCUAGGGGGCGGAGGAGGCCGACGGUAUUCUCGGGGUAGGGGUAAAAUCCUAUAAUCCCGGGAAGACCACCAGUGGCGAAGGCGGUCGGCUAGUACGCGCUCGACGGUGAGGGACGAAAGCUGGGGGAGCGAACCGGAUUAGAUACCCGAGUAGUCC
rnacentral:rRNA from 1 species